CAGUGGGGAAUUGUUCGCAAUGGGCGCAAGCCUGACGACGCAACGCCGCGUGGAGGAUGAAGGUCUUCGGAUUGUAAACUCCUGUUGCCCGGGACGAAUGGCUUCGACCUAACACGUCGAAGUUUGACGGUACCGGGUGAGGAAGCCCCGGCUAACUCUGUGCCAGCAGCCGCGGUAAUACAGAGGGGGCAAGCGUUGUUCGGAAUUACUGGGCGUAAAGGGCGCGUAGGCGGCCUUCUAAGUCGAACGUGAAAUCCCCGGGCUCAACCCGGGAACUGCGUCCGAUACUGGAAGGCUUGAAUCCGGGAGAGGGAUGCGGAAUUCCAGGUGUAGCGGUGAAAUGCGUAGAUAUCUGGAGGAACACCGGUGGCGAAGGCGGCAUCCUGGACCGGUAUUGACGCUGAGGCGCGAAAGCCAGGGGAGCAAACGGGAUUAGAUACCCCGGUAGUCCUGGCCCUAAACGAUGAAUGCUUGGUGUGGCGGGUAUCGAUCCCUGCCGUGCCGAAGCUAACGCAUUAAGCAUUCCGCCUGGGGAGUACGGUCGCAAGGCUGACACUCAAAGGAAUUGACGGGGGCCCGCACAAGCGGUGGAGCAUGUGGUUCAAUUCGACGCAACGCGAAGAACCUUACCCAGGCUUGAACUGCAGGUGACAUCCUACGAAAGUAGGUUUCCGCAAGGACACCUGUAGAGGUGCUGCAUGGCUGUCGUCAGCUCGUGUCGUGAGAUGUUGGGUUAAGUCCCGCAACGAGCGCAACCCUUGUCUUCUGUUGCCAUCGGGUUAUGCCGGGCACUCUGAAGAGACUGCCGGUGACAAACCGGAGGAAGGUGGGGAUGACGUCAAGUCAGCAUGGCCUUUAUGUCUGGGGCCACACACGUGCUACAAUGGCCGGUACAAACCGUCGCGAUCUCGCGAGAGGGAGCUAAUCGGAGAAAGCCGGUCUCAGUUCGGAUUGUAGGCUGCAACUCGCCUGCAUGAAGUUGGAAUCGCU
rnacentral:rRNA from 1 species